rnacentral:rRNA from 1 species
UACGGAGGGAGCUAGCGUUGUUCGGAAUUACUGGGCGUAAAGCGCACGUAGGCGGCGAUUUAGGUCAGAUGUGAAAUCCCGAGGCUCAACCUCGGAACUGCGUCUGAAACUACUCGGCUAGAGUACUGGAGAGGGUAACGGAAUUCACGGUGUAGCAGUGAAAUGCGUAGAUAUCGUGAGGAACACCAGAGGCGAAGGCGGUUACCUGGACAGUUACUGACGCUCAGGCACGAAAGCAUGGGGAGCAAAAGGGAUUAGAAACCCGGGUAGU